rnacentral:rRNA from 1 species
GUAGUCCACGCCCUAAACUAUGUCAACUGGUUGUCGGGGGAUUGAUUCCCUUGGUAACGAAGCUAACGCGUGAAGUUGACCGCCUGGGGAGUACGGCCGCAAGGUUAAAACUCAAAGGAAUUGACGGGGACCCGCACAAGCGGUGGAUUAUGUGGAUUAAUUCGAUGCAACGCGAAAAACCUUACCUACCCUUGACUUGUACGGAAUCUUCCAGAGAUGGAAGAGUGCCCGAAAGGGAACCGUAACACAGGUGCUGCAUGGCUGUCGUCAGCUCGUGUCGUGAGAUGUUGGGUUAAGUCCCGCAACGAGCGCAACCCUUGUCAUUAGUUGCUACAUUUAGUUGGGCACUCUAAUGAGACUGCCGGUGACAAACCGGAGGAAGGUGGGGAUGACGUCAAGUCCUCAUGGCCCUUAUGGGUAGGGCCUCACACGUAAUACAAUGGCCGGUACAGAGGGCUGCCAACCCGCGAGGGGGAGCUAAUCUCAGAAAGCCGGUCGUAGUCCGGAUUGUUCUCUGCAACUCGAGAACAUGAAGUUGGAAUCGCUAGUAAUCGCGGAUCAGCAUGUCGCGGUGAAUA